rnacentral:rRNA from 1 species
AGUUCGUCAUGGCUCAGAUUGAACGCUGGCGGGAUGCUUUACACAUGCAGUCGAACGGCAGCACGGACUUCGGUCUGGUGGCGAGUGGCGAACAGGGGUGAUAAUGUAUCGGAACGUGCCUAUUAUUAGCCCUGGCAGGGGGAUAACUACGCGAAAGCGUAGCUAAUACCGCAUACGCCCUUCGGGGAAAGCGAAGGACCUUCGGGCUCGCACUAUUAAACGGCCGAUAUCGGAUUAGCUAGUUGGUGGGGUAACGGCUCGCAAGGCGACGAUCAGCGGCUGGACGAGAGGAUGACCAGCCACUGGGACUGGGAGCGGCGAACUCCUACGGGAGGCAGCAGUGGGGAGUACGGACAAUGGAAACCACAGUCCAGCCAUCCCCGCGUGUGCGAUGAAGGCCUUCGGGUUGUAAAAGCACUUUUGGCGGAAAAGCGGCGCAGGAUAAUACCCCGUGCAACUGACGAGCCCGCACCUGCAGAAUAAGCACCGGCCCCUAACUACAUUCCUGCCAGCAGCCGCGGUAAUACGUAGGGUGCAAGCGUUAAUCGGAAUUACUGGGCGUAAAGCGUGCACAGGCGGUUCGGAGAAAGAAGAUGAAAUCGAGCUUAACUUUGGAACUGCAUUUUUAACACCGACUAGAGAGUGUGGGGGAGGUGGAAUUCCGCGUGUAGCAGUGAAAUGCGUAGAUAUGCGGAGGAACACCGAUGGCGAAGGCAGCCUCCUGGGAUAACACUGACGCUCAUGCACACAACGUGAGGCAAACAGGAUUAGAUACCCUGGUAGUCCACGCCUAAACGAUGUCAACUAGCUGUUACAGGGCCUUCGGGCCUUGGUAGCGCAACUAACGCGUGAAGUUGACCGCCUGGGGAAUACGGUCGCAGAUUAAAACUCAAAGGAAUUGACGGGGACCGCACAAGCGGUGGAUGAUGUGGAUUAAUUCGAUGCAACACGAAAAACCUUACCUACCCUUGACAUGUCUGGAAUCCCGAAGAGAUUUGGGAGUGCUCGCGAGAGAACCGGAACACGGGUGCUGCAUGGCUGUGUCGGCUCUGUGUCGUGAGAUGUUGGGUUAAGUCCACAACGAGCGCAACCCUUGUCAUUAGUUGCUACGAAGGGCACUCUAAUGAGACUGCCGGUGACAAACCGGAGGAAGGUGGGGAUGACGUCAAGUCCUCAUGGCCCGCUAUGGGUAGGGCUACACGUCAUACAAUGGUGGGGUGGGGGUCGCCAACCCGCGAGAAGGAGCCAAUCCCAGAAACCCGAUCGUAGUCCGGAUCGCAGUCUGCAACUCGACUGCGUGAAGUCAGAAUCGCUAGUAAUCGCGGAUCAGCAUGUCGCGGUGAAUACGUUCCCGGGUCUGUACACACCGCCCGUCACACCAUGGAGUGGUUUUACCAGAAGUAGUUAACCUAACCGUAAGGAGGGGGCGAUUACCACGGUAGGAUUCAUAUUGGGGUGAAGUCGUAACAAGGUAGCUCUGUUAC